rnacentral:rRNA from 1 species
GACGAACGCUGGCGGCGUGCUUAACACGUGCAAGUCGAACGGAAAGGCCCUGCUUGCAGGGUACUCGAGUGGCGAACGGGUGAGUAACACGUGGGUGAUCUGCCCUGCACUUCGGGAUAAGCCUGGGAAACUGGGUCUAAUACCGGAUAUGACCUUCCAUGUAGUGUGGGGGGUGGAAAGAUUUAUCGGUGUGGGAUGAGCCCGCGGCCUAUCAGCUUGUUGGUGGGGUAAUGGCCUACCAAGGCGUCGACGGGUAGCCGGCCUGAGAGGGUGGACGGCCACAUUGGGACUGAGAUACGGCCCAGACUCCUACGGGAGGCAGCAGUGGGGAAUAUUGCACAAUGGGCGGAAGCCUUAUGCAGCGACGCCGCGUGGGGGAUGACGGCCUUCGGGUUGUAAACCUCUUUCGACAGGGACGAAGCUUCGGUGACGGUACCUGUAUAAGAAGCACCGGCUAACUACGUG